AACGAACGCUGGCGGCAGGCCUAACACAUGCAAGUCGAACGCUCCGCAAGGGGAGUGGCAGACGGGUGAGUAACACGUGGGAAUCUUCCUAUUGGUAUGGAAUAGCUCAGGGAAACUUGGGGUAAUACCGUAUAAGCCCGAGAGGGGAAAGAUUUAUCGCCAAUAGAUGAGCCCGCGUCUGAUUAGCUAGUUGGUGAGGUAAUGGCUCACCAAGGCGACGAUCAGUAGCUGGUCUGAGAGGAUGAUCAGCCACACUGGGACUGAGACACGGCCCAGACUCCUACGGGAGGCAGCAGUGGGGAAUAUUGGACAAUGGGCGGCAAGCCUGAUCCAGCCAUGCCGCGUGAGUGACGAAGGUCUUCGGAUUGUAAAGACUCUUUUGGUCGGGGGACGG
rnacentral:rRNA from 1 species